ACCAGUGUAGCAUAGUGGUGAGGAGCAAGGCUCAUAACCAAAAGGUUGCUGGUUCGAUCCCCCGCUGGGG